GCUCCUAUAGCUCAGUUGAAUAGAGCAAAGGAUUUCUAAUCCUUGGGUCGAAAGUUUAAGUCUUUCUAGGAGUGCCA
rnacentral:tRNA from 1 species